rnacentral:rRNA from 1 species
AUCCCUUGACAUCCUGCGAACUUUCUAGAGAUAGAUUGGUGCCUUCGGGAACGCAGUGACAGGUGCUGCAUGGCUGUCGUCAGCUCGUGUCGUGAGAUGUUGGGUUAAGUCCCGCAACGAGCGCAACCCUUAUCUUUAGUUGCUACCAUUUAGUUGAGAACUCUAAAGAGACUGCCGGUGAUAAACCGGAGGAAGGCGGGGACGACGUCAAGUCAUCAUGGCCCUUAUGGGAUGGGCUACACACGUGCUACAAUGGAGGGUACAAAGAGCAGCCAACUGGCGACAGUGCGCGAAUCUCAUAAAACCCUUCGUAGUCCGGAUCGGAGUCUGCAACUCGACUCCGUGAAGUCGGAAUCGCUAGUAAUCGUGAAUCAGAAUGUCACGGUGAAUACGUUCCCCGGGCU